rnacentral:rRNA from 1 species
AUGGGAUUUAGUGCAUACCAGAAUAUAUCGGCUGCGAUGCGGGUGCUCGCGUAUGGCAUACCCGCGGACUACUGUGACGAGUAUCUUCGCAUUGGCCAAGAUACUACCACCGAGUCGUGCGUAGGUUUGCCAAGAUGGUCAUCCGGUUGUAUGGUGAUUGGUAUCUUCGGGCUCCCAAUGAGGAAGAUACAAAGAGGUUGA